CCCUUAGACGUUCUGGGCCGCACGCGCGCUACACUGACCAGUGCAACAAGCAUCCGUCCUUGGCCGACAGGCCCGGGCAAUCUUUGAACGCUGGUCGUGAUGGGGAUAGACUUUUGCAAUUUUUGGUCUUCAACGAGGAAUUCCUAGUAAACGCAAGUCAUCAACUUGCAUUGAUUACGUCCCUGCCCUUUGUACACAACGCCCGUCGCACCUACCGAUUGAAUGGUCCGGUGAAGCCUCCGGAUUGGCGCGCACCUCGGUGCCGCCGAGAAGUUGGCUAAACCUUACCAUUUAGAGGAAGGUGAAGUCGUAACA
rnacentral:rRNA from 1 species